GUAUUGUCAAGCACUGCAGAAAUAAUUUAAAAAGCAAAUGCAAAGGUUAUACAAAUAUAAAGUACAUCUAAUCACUAUAAAUACAGAUGCUAAUAGUUGUCUAUCUCUGUACCUACAUUAAUAGAAAAACAGCCUUUCUAUGUUUGGUUAUGUAUGAAGGAAAUGUUUUUGUUUUUUUUUUUCUGGCCUUGGAAAUUGACUACUAAUGACAAACUAUGCAAACAGAUCAUCACACACUGGGAACUUUAAGAUACAAAGAGAGAAAGCAUCGAACGGUUGGAGUGAGGCAGUGACCUAAUCAUGUUGGCAGUCUAAAUGUCAGUUUUCCUUAGGCAAAGUAUCUCCUUUAAGAAAAACUAAAGGGAUGUUUCAUGGAGGUUUUACAAAGAGUGUUUCUGAUUUUUAACUGUAGAUCUGCAGAAUGCUUUGAAUGGGAACCAUUUGGGAGCUUAAGCGACAGCAGUGGUGUCAUUGACUAAAUGGUUAUGGGGCAGAGCUUUUCUUAUCGCUUCUUUUAGACCUGGAGGGCUCUGAAGGGUGAGGGCAAGAAUUGUAAGUCUGAUGUAAAGAAGCAAGAAUUGUCAUAAAAUCAUAGUGUAUCCUGAGUUGGAAGGUGCCCACAAGGAUCACGAGUCCAACCCUGGCUCUACACCAGAUCACCCAGAAUUCAAACCCUGUGUCUGAGAGAGCUGUCCAAACUCUUGUUGAACAACAGCUUGUGGCUGUGCCCACUGCCCUGGGGAGCCUGUUCUGUGCCCUGUGGUCAAGAACCUUACCUGACCCUCCCCUGAUGCAGCUCCAUGCUGAGCAGGACAUCCCCUGCCCUCACCCAAUGUGCAGUGCUGGGCCAGGUGCCCCCAGGGUACGGUUGGGCUUUUAGCCCUGGCAGCCAAAUUAGGCUGUAAUUAGAAGUCACACUGAUUACAAAGGAAGGAUGUCUUCAAGUGCAUGAGGUUAUGCACUGAUACGAAUCUUAGCUUAACUUCUGUCACAUCAGGUAAACAAGGGAAGAACCCAAUUUUAAUUAGCCUGUAUUUUAGGAUGUAGUUGAGUGUGACAUUUGGAAAUGUCAGAGACAACAAGUCGCACCAUUUUUUCUUAAAGUCUAUGGAAAUUAGUUGUCCUCGGGCCAAAAUUAAGAUUCUGCUCUUUACUUUAAGAGCUAUGCUUCCUAAGCAAGGGCAUCAGCACAACUCCUGAAAAAAAUCAGUGCUCCUAGCUGUCAUCCCAGCUAUAAUACAAUACAAUAUAAUGGCCAGUGUACAGCUGAGUAGUUGUUGAGUGUUAUUGGUGGUUGUGUGGUGUUUUAAUACAAACAGUAAAGACAAAUUUGAGAAAAAUGUUACUGCUUGGUUAUUGAGCAGCAAAUUCAGAAGUUGCUCCUCCACGUGUGCACUUGUGAGGAGAUGGAGGGUUAAUUCAAUGAGGCAUUCCAAGCUAUACUGUCUCUGCUUAUGUCUACUAGAAGUUUUAGACUGGUUGCUUUCUUCUAAGUUGAAUUGAUGCUUUGUUGGCAACAGCUGCAGUGGGAUUGAGAUGGUGGUUACUGUGGAGGUUGCAGGUUGUUCUUGUGUGCCGCAGGUACUCUGCCUGCUGAUGUAAAGCCAGAAAAAGGUUGUAUCCUCAUCAUCAGCCUAACUUCAUAAGUCAGGCCUGAUGUACCUCAGUCUUAAGAAGUUAUCAUCUUUAAAAAACAAAAUCUCCAGAAGGAGAUAUUAGCAUUUAUCAAUUUUAAAUGGCCUUGGCUUUGUUUAGGGGCUUGUCUCAUCAAGAAAGUUCAAAAAUAAUGCAGCCAUUAAAAUUGGAGAAGACUUCUGAGAUCACUGAGUUGCACAGUCAGCCCAUCCUCACCAUGUCCCUCAGUGCCACAUCCACGUGUUCUUGAAUACCCCCAGGGAUGAUGACUUAACCACCUCCCUGAGCAGCCUGUGCCAGUGCCUGGCUACUGUUGCAGAGAAGAAACUUCCUAAUAUCCAACCCUUAUCUCCCUUGGCACAACCUGAAGCCGUUGCCUUGUGUCCCAUCUCUAGUUGACUGGGAGAUGAGGCUGAACUCAGUAUAUACAGGGAAACUGAUAUGAACUCCCAUCACCCUUCCAAAGAGUUCUUUACAGCAAAGGCAUCUUUCAAGUAUACAGUUAACCACUUCAAGCUUUAAAAACAGUCUGUAAUACUAAUGGUAGUUUCUCUCAUGAGUAUAUAUCAACCUAAAUAUACAUACCUCAAUAAUAAAACUUGUUUAUUAGAGUAUGUGGAUGUGGUCAUUUAACACCAGUAAGUAGGUAAGCACCAUCAUUCUACUCUCACGCUUCUCUUCCUCAGAAGGAUGGGGAGAAAAUGUGAAAAAAUUUCAUGUGUUAAGGUGAGGACAGGGACGUCAGUGACCAGUUACUGUCACCAGCAAAACAGAUUAGAAAAGUGAAAACUGAAAGCCAACUGGAAACACCACCUCCCCUACCUCUUCUACUUCCCCGCCCUGUCAGUGGCAUAGGGGAACUGGGAAUGGGGCUGCAGUCAGUCUACAAUGCUUUGUCUCUGCUGCUCCUCCACAUGGGGUCCCUCCAUCCUUCCCAAACUGAUCCUGUGUGGCCUUCUUGCACGCUGCAGCUGUCUGAGCACUGCCCUGGCACAGCUCUGUACCACAGGGCCCACCCUUCAGGCACUGCCCCACAUGGGUCACCAUCAGCAGCAGCUUCCCCCAGCCCUCCUGCCCCACCGCAAGCUUCUCCCCGUGGGCUACAGCUUCAUCCAGGGGCUGCUCCUGCUGGGGCUCCCCAUGUGCUGUGGCUCCUCCAGGUCUCAUCUGCUGCUGCACCGUGGGCUCCUCCAAGGCUGCGUGUGGAGGUCUGCUCUGUGUGGAACCUGUGGGCUGCAAGAGGAUGCCUGGCUCCUCCAUGGGCCUCUCCUGUGCUGCAGGGAGCUGCUUCUCCAUGCCUGGAGCACAUCCUGUCCUCCUUCUGCGCUGACCUUGAUGGCUGCAGGGCUGCUUCUCUCGCAUUUUCUCACUCCUGUCUCCCAGCUGCUGUGAUGCAGCAGUUUUUCCCUUCCUUAUAUCUGCGUAGCUCUUAGCUCGUCUCUGCCAUCUGUGGGACCCUUUUGGGGCAUCUGGAGUUGGCUCUGAUCUGACAUGGAGCAGCUGCUGGGCUCUGCUUAUGGAGCCCAUCCCCGGUACAGCAAAGAGCUUUGCUUGUAAGCUCGUGGAGCACAUUAGCCAUGAAAGCACAGUUUUUGCACAGUGUUACAGCUUCCCUGGACUUGCUGCUGAGCCUUGGGAUCAUCAGAAAACUCAGUAUAAACAGAGUGAUCUGACCAUCCAGUUUGAGCAAACCGGUUGUGGCUUUGGAGUCUGAUAAACUUUCCUGUUAACAUUCAGAUCCGUUUCUCUCUCCAGAAGAGAAUGUUUCAGAAGAGAGUCAGCUUUCCUGUAUUUCUCAAGCCAGAUGUUAGCAGGUGAAUAGUACUUAAGCUGGGCUACAGAAGUGCAUAAUAUACUAAUGUGUACUAGGAAGAGCCUGGGGAAUGUAGCAAAGACCUCAAGUUCUUUGCCAAGUGAAUCAUGUAUAUAAUUUUAAAUAAUUUCAGCACUUUGGAUUUUUUGUCCUUGUGAAAUUCCAGACUCCAGUUUAUGGAAGAACUCCAGUGUUUGGAUUGUUUGGGAGUCUGCCCUGGAAUUGCUUCAGCAAACUUUAUGGAAGUAAAUGAAGGAAGCAAUCAUUAUUGAAAAGUUCAUCCAUAAGAUUCCAAAAUAAGUGUGUCUAAACUCCAAGGCUCACCUCACAACAGUUUAUAGAACUGUGGGAAUGCAUGGGAGACUUCAGAUGGCCUAAGUGGACGUAAAUUCUGUGGCUGUGGAAAGGGGUGAUCCUACAGUUCCAAGCCACCACUGGUGCAGCAGUAGCGUUUUUAUGGAAAUUCUGGUGAUUAACAGUCAUGGCAACCAUAGAGGAACUGGCCCAUCAAAUUAUUGAGCAGCAAAUGGGAGAGAUUACCCAUUCCCAGGGAGCUGUUACACAAACACUAAUGGAUGGGGCAGCACAACGAAUACAGAUCGUCCCUUCAGAUUCAGGCCUCUCUUUACCACAGCGUAUACAGAUUGUCACAGAUCAGCAGACGGGCCAGAAGAUUCAGAUUGUUACAGCACUUGAUCAGAGCUCAGCAGGCAAGCAGUUCAUCCUAACAAAUCAUGAUGGCUCUACCCCAAGCAAGGUGAUCCUUGCCAGACAAGAUUCCACUCCAGGAAAAGUUAUCCUAGCAACUCCAGAUGCUGCAGGUGUCAACCAACUGUUUUUUGCAUCCCCUGAUAUAUCUGCACAACACAUCCAGAUUUUAACAGACAACUCUCCCAAUGAGCAGGCCCUAAAUAAAGUGUUUGAUCUGUGUGUUGUGUGUGGAGACAAAGCAUCAGGACGUCACUAUGGAGCAGUAACUUGUGAGGGUUGCAAAGGAUUCUUUAAAAGGAGUAUACGGAAGAAUUUGGUGUAUUCGUGCCGAGGAACAAAGGACUGUGUCAUUAACAAACACCACCGGAAUCGCUGUCAGUACUGCCGGCUGCAGCGAUGCAUCGCCUUCGGAAUGAAACAAGACUCUGUGCAGUGUGAGAGGAAACCUAUUGAAGUGUCAAGAGAAAAGUCUUCAAACUGUGCAGCUUCUACAGAAAAGAUCUACAUUCGGAAAGAUCUUCGCAGCCCAUUGGCUGCAACUCCAACUUUUGUAACAGACAAUGAAACAGCAAGGUCAACAGGUCUGUUGGAAUCAGGAAUGUUCGUUAACAUUCAGUCUGGAAUUAAAAGCGAGCCUACAGUGCUGAUGACUCCAGAUAAGGUCGAAGCUUGUCAGGGAGACUUAAGUACCCUGGCAAAUGUGGUGACAUCUUUAGCAAACCUCAGUAAAUCCAAAGAUCUGUCACAAAGCAGUACAGAGCUGUCUAUGAUUGAGAGUUUAAGUAAUGGAGAUGGAUCCUUACCUGAACUUCAGCAAGAAGAACAAGGAAGUAGUGAUGUUACAAGGGCAUUUGAUACUCUUGCAAAAGCAUUAAAUCCUGCAGAGAGUGCAGCGUGCCAGAACUCUGAAAGUGUUGAGGCCAACGUGCAGCUUGGUGGUGGAGAAACAAGCAUGAAUAUCGUUGAAAUAGAGGGGCCGCUACUCAGUGAUGCACAUGUAGCAUUCAGGCUCACCAUGCCUUCUCCUAUGCCCGAAUAUCUUAACGUUCACUAUAUCUGUGAGACUGCCUCCAGGUUGCUUUUCCUGUCCAUGCACUGGGCACGUUCCAUUCCAUCUUUCCAAGCUUUAGGACAGGAUAACAGCAUAUCAUUAGUAAAAGCCUGCUGGAACGAACUUUUUACGCUUGGUCUUGCACAGUGCUCUCAGGUCAUGAAUGUGGCGACUAUAUUGGCUGCGUUUGUUAAUCACCUUCACGACAGCUUACAGCAAGAUAAGCUGCCAACAGACAGAGGAAAGCUAGUAAUGGAACACAUCUUCAAACUGCAAGAGUUCUGUAACAGUAUGGUGAAGCUUUGCCUAGAUGGAUAUGAAUAUGCAUAUUUGAAAGCAAUUGUACUCUUCAGUCCUGAUCACCCAGGGCUGGAAAAUGUGGUACAGAUUGAGAAAUUUCAAGAAAAGGCGUACAUGGAGUUCCAAGAUUAUGUAACAAAAGCAUAUCCAGAUGAUACUUACAGACUGUCUCGACUUCUUCUCCGAUUGCCUGCCCUGAGGCUGAUGAGUGCUGCCAUUACUGAAGAGCUGUUCUUUGCAGGACUAAUUGGAAACGUUCAGAUUGAUAGCAUCAUCCCAUACAUUCUGCGAAUGGAAACGGCAGACUACAACACUCAAAUAAUCGGUCAUGCUGUAUAAAAGUAGCAAUCAAGGAUUCUGUACCAUGGCAGACAUGGUUGAUGUAAAUGAAUACUCUGUCUCCAAGAGAUGGCAAUAGGCCUUCCCACGCACCUUUCUAAAGAAGACUCGUGUUCUUCCUUUCCAGUACACUUGGGAAAUGCGGUGGAGUGUCUUAAGGAAUAUAGGAUCGCUUCCUAUUUUUCAUCUGAUCUUCAAGGACUUGUAAAUUAACUUGAUAUCUGAGGAAAGUCAAGAAUUGUCCAUCCUAUUUUUGUAGAUAGAUGAACUUGGAAUAUUUGUUUAUGAAAUCCAGGCUUGUGAAGAAACGGAAGAAGCUUUGACUGAACUAAGAGUUGGAUCUUCCACUGCCAACUUCUAAUCAGAGGCUGUACUACAGGAUUGCUCAUACACAGAUCCAGAGAUGGAAACGCUUAGUGCUGAGGACCUCUGAUGGGAUGGAACCAUUCUCCCCUGCUCUGAAUUUGGCAUGUAGCGGCUUUCUGGAGAACAGCCUUUAAAGAUGCUGGAGCUUCCUACGUGCCCGAGCCCUUCCCACAGUCCAUGUGUCUAAAGGAGAAGGAUUGAGGCUCUGCAUUUGUGUUCCCUGGAGUUCAUGAAGUGUGCAGACUUUUUUUCUGUCUCAAGAGGGCAGUAGUUAAGGAAAUAUGAAAGACAACGGCUGCCAAUAUACUGUGCUUGUCACUUCCCUGUGGUUAUAGGCCCCGCCAUCUUGCCGUCUGUAGUUCCAAAUUGUGGAUGGGAAGUGAAUUGUUCUAUUCAUGUUUCCUCUGAAAUUUGGACCCUGUCUUCCAGCUCUUCUCUGUUUCUAGCAGGAAUAGUUAUAGUUGUGUUAAACCUUUCAAGGAAGUUGCCAGGAGGUUACUCCUGAAUAAUUUGUAAGUGGCUUACCAGGCAUUCCACAUAUUGGAAGAAUUUGAUUCCCAAUAUUCUCCAAAUUCAGAUAACCCAUUUUCCUUCUAAGAGCAGUAGAAACUGCAAAUCUCUCCCACACCCUUGCAGAUUUGUAUUUUUUUAGCUUUCUGCCCCAGGCAUGACAAACUGUUCUUUGUUUACAGCUGGCCAGAAGAUUCAGCAAAUGUGGUUUUUGCAUGGUAUUGUAUAGCUGCAGAAACAGCUGAGAAAAUACCAAUGUUUGUAGAGAGGUAAAUCUUUAGGGAUUGAAUCCUUCAGCAUAUCUGUCUUGGACAGCCGUGUUUUGAAGGAUGUGGCCAUAGAAGCUUAUUCUCUCUGAAAUUCUGCGCUGUUCUCCCUCCACACCGUAGUCUGAAUACAAGUUGGCCUACUUCAGGGAAGUGUGAACUGCUGUCACUGCUGACUGCUGGAUCUGCAGUUAGGCUGUGUUAACUCAGAAGCACAAGAACCGCAGUCACAUUCUUUUUGGAUACCUGUCACCUCUGCAUGGCAGCAGAAGUUUCAAAUCUCAAUGGCUGACUUUUCCCCUUCCCACAUCUCUUACUGUUAACUUUCCUGGCAAAAUCCUUUGAGCUUGAUCUGAGAUUUUUGCCAGAUCACAUAAAUCAAGAAUUCAACCCAUCCAUGUUUUUUUUUUAAAAUCCAGUGUUUCCAGAUGUGAGACUACGCGUUCUGUGUUGGGUAGCAAGAGACAGUGUCACACCCUUUCACGUGACAAAAACUUGCAGAUAUCAUACAAUCUAGUUUUCCCAGUCAGGUGAGAAGUCAAACAGGACACCCAUCUCCAAGCUCAGUUACAGAUUCUAUUACCUCUUUUGAGAGCAGUAUAGUCGAGUCACCAUCAGUAAUCAGGAUAUACUCUAGUAGUUCCCAGGCUGCGUUUGGGGCUUUGCUCAAUAUCUGUAUAGUAUUAUUACAAAAUGGAAACCUAGUUCAAGAGAUCUCCAAAUUGCCAAGAAGUGGCAUACACUUUUUAUGUAUUGUCUGGCUAUGUGCAUACUCAUGCAAAAAGAAAAGGUGUUUAUCUCAAAAAGAUUCCAGUUACUUCUGCUGUCCAUCUGUGCGAUAACCAUAUGCCCCCUUUCCCCCUUUCUGUUGGUGGCUAACCAAAUGUAAGUUCCAUACUGACUGUCAGGUGAAACAAAAGAGGGAGGCAGAUGCAUGAACACCUGAGGUAUUGUAAGGGCCUCCGCAAACAACCAUAAUCUUGGAUACCUCCAAUGUUUGGACUUCUAUAAAGUGAAUGUGCAGAUAUGCAAAACACUGCAAAAAGUGCUGCCUACUGGUAAGUAACCUUUUUCCCAAUGUUUGUUACAUUUUUUCCUCAUAAAUGUUCAGUGUAAGUUCAGUACCAGGUUAAAGGCAGAGUGCGUGCUGGUCUGUGCUGCCUGGCGAGUAUUCUCUCCUGUCUUGAUGAUCAGGAAGGUGGAUCCCAUAGUACAGGUGGUUGCAUUUGCAUUAUUCACUUUUCUUACCAAGACUUUUCAUUUAUCAUUUUGAGUUCUUUAACUGUACAUUCAUGCUCUUGAUGAGGAGUGAGGCACAACUGGGCUUUCUCAGGAAUGGGCUGCCCUUCAUGCUAUUCAGUCACACUGUUGUUCAACACAAAUGCGAGCAGUAAGGCUCACUUCACAGUGGAUGUUAAAGUAACUCAUUAUUUUUGUGACCUUUUCUCCUUCAUGUUUUUUUUUUUAACCUUCUGAUCUUCAGCAUUCUGAAACUUUCCAUACCUCGUCAGAAUACAACUAAACUGCAGCACUUACCACUAAUAAUUUGCUUUGCCAAUGAAUGAACAAGCUCUGUUAUGACAGCUUUAAAAUGUUCAAUGUUAUGAAAAUUCAUUUCUGUAUCAAACACAUGAACGGAAGAAAUGAUACAUUUGGAAUCUUGUCCCUGGAAGUGUAUGUUGUGCAUAUAUAUAUGAGUUCUGGGGGCUUGUUUCGUACUGGUAGAGUUCCUGAUACAAACGACUGUUCUACUUUAAACUUGCUUCAAAAGCACUUUCAUUGUGUGUACCUUCUGCACUUAUAACCUGUUGGUACCUCUCUUCUGUGACCAUUGGCUUCAGUGAAAGUCACUGCUCUGUUACUCUGUUCAGCAGCUGUGGUUUCCCAUUACAGGCAUUAGAACGUCGCUGUACCUGUUCUGCUGUGGUAUAAAAAAUUCAUUGUAAAUGUCUUGAAACCUGAAUUUGUAAAGUCUAUUUUGGCUGUAUUUUUAAAAAUAAAUUGUAACUUUCUAUUAGAGAAAGCAAUAGUAAUCACCUAUGUGUUAGUGUUCUACACAGGUUGUCUUACAGCCCUGAAGCAGUGUGUAUGAUUCCAAAGAGUCCGUGGAUGUCACUUUACUGUACAAUGUUGUGUUGUCAGUAGAUUCAUUCUCUGGGAUUUGUGAUCACUGCAGUAUCGUGCUGUUCUCUACCCUGUUGCUAGGAACUCUUUGUGCUUACUGCUCCUUUCUGCCCUGGGAAUUUGGCUAUUUGAAAAUUAGUGAUUUAUUAUAGAAUGUAAUUUACCAAUGUAUUUUUUUAUUUUAAAGCACUACAUGCAGACGUUGAUAUAAUGAAUUCUGAUCACAGAUCUUCAUGCCAAGUAAAACAAUAGUUAUUUUUGGAGAAGUUUAUUCAAUUCAUUAUGGAUUGUGAAAUGAUGACAAGUUUGGGUCCUUUCUAGAACUGAUUUCCCAGUGCCAAUUGAAGAGUUGUCUUUUUUUUUUAGUCUUCAAUUACAAAUGAUUGUGAUGUUUGCAUGAAUAUGCAGAUAGCAAGAACAAAUGAGAAAUGAGCUACCAUUCUCUCCGUGCCUAGAUUCUGAAAUGCAUUCAUCCUGAAGUAAAUGAAGUACUGUGGAGUAGAUGAUGCACUGUAGAGGAAAGCCUUGUAUGAUGAGAGAGAAAGUUUGGGUAAUGCUGAUGAGAGAAUAAGCAGUCAGACUCUCUUCCCCCUCCGUUAGCAGAUACUCCAGUUGCUUUGUUGCUUUUGUUUUAAAAGCUUACCCUUCUCUGCAUUUCCACAGAGACCUGUUCUCUGGUCAGACUGCUAAUCUACUACCUGCUCCUUCCCAUACCAGUAACAUUUCACUGCCUUUUGGUCAUCUCUGAAGGAAAAAAUGAAGAGCUCUCUAGAAAGAAGUGCUCUUCUGGUAAAUAACGAAAGUCUAGAAACUCUCCAACGGGUUACUCAGCAGCAUCUUCAACCAACAUCUCUAACAGUCUUGUCUUUUGUCCUCAUGCUUCUGUAUAAAAUAACCCCAAAUAACGUUUCUACUUCAUCAUAUGAGCCCUUCUCUCCUGAGCUCUGCUUUUCCUUUGUUCAUGUGCACAAAGUCACAUUAACCCAUGCCUGUAAGCAGCCCUUUCAGCCACUUCAGUCUUCCUUUUAUCCUCAGCUCUGCAGUAUGAAGUGCUAUCCUCACCCUGAUGUGCUACUGCUAAUGUGUAACACAAUUUUCUGCUACAUUAAUCUUUUAUCAGAACUCGGGGUUGUGCAUUUUGGCUCCAGUGUAGGAACCAAAUGUAUCCUGAGUCAUGGCAAUGGAGCUGACCUCUGUUCAAAGCAGUCACUCCUGGACGCAUGGGAUUUUUGUGGCUGCUGAUGCUGAACACAUACAUAAGCUCCACUAUGGAGACCUCAACCCUGCUUCAUCUUUGGGUCUUACCAGAGAGCAAGCUGAACAGCCACAUACUUCGGUUUAUGAUGGCUCUCAUGAAAGUUUUUCUUUCACACUGUAACCAGUGGAAUUUUGCUAUUGGGAAAUGAAAGGUAGAGGCAGCUGCUGCGUGAGAUGGCCCAGGCACUUCCCAAGAAGUGGCAUAAGUCUUCUAAAAGUGCCAGCAUUGUUGGUUUUGAGUGUUUUAGUAUUGUCACAGAAGUAUAUACACACUAGAAUGUUCGUGGGGUUUUUUGAAAAUUACAGAAUACCUCUUCUCUUCAGUAAGAUUGCACCUUUAGCCUUGGUUCCAGACCGUGAAUCAAUCUCUUUUAAAGCAGCCGAAGACAAGUGAAAAACCUUUUUUGAUUGUGCUUUUGGGAAAUGUGGACUAUAGGAGGGCUACAAAUCCAAGAGGAAAAGCAUUAGAGAUUGCACUGUUCAGACCAGAGUGAGAGAAACUAUGGUUAGAGGCUGGGCCCACAAAAUGUAAAGAACGGUGAUGUGAAUUUGACAAUGCUUCUGAGACUCAGAAAUUUUAGAAGGAUGGGGCAGAUUUUCAAAAUCUACAUAGCUGGGUCUGUUGUGUAUUGGAUUUAUUAUUUUAAUUGCAAGAGGAAUUCCAAUUAAUUAUGCAAAUGUAUAUUCCUUAGUUGUGAAAUCAUUGCAGCAUAAACUCAUAUGACUUCUCAUACAAAGAACAGAAGGAAUUGCAGUGGAAUAGAUAAACAAUUAAAAUAUAUAUAUUGUAAGGUAAAAUGUAAAUAUUGAAUUGCUUUGUGGGUUGGUUUUUUACACUUUCUGUGAAAUACUUGAACUUAGGUUUCUCAAAAUCAAUUUAUCACUGAAUAAAGCUCUUAAAAAAAUAAAACAUAGGAUUCAAUGAGA